UAAACUCCUGUUGUUGAGGAAGAUAAUGACGGUACUCAACAAGGAAGUGACGGCUAACUACGUGCCAGCAGCCGCGGUAAAACGUAGGUCACAAGCGUUGUCCGGAAUUACUGGGUGUAAAGGGAGCGCAGGCGGGAGAACAAGUUGGAAGUGAAAUCCAUGGGCUCAACCCAUGAACUGCUUUCAAAACUGUUUUUCUUGAGUAGUGCAGAGGUAGGCGGAAUUCCCGGUGUAGCGGUGGAAUGCGUAGAUAUCGGGAGGAACACCAGUGGCGAAGGCGGCCUACUGGGCACCAACUGACGCUGAGGCUCGAAAGUGUGGGUAGCAAACAGGAUUAGAUACCCUGGUAGUCCACACCGUAAACGAUGAUUACUAGGUGUUGGAGGAUUGACCCCUUCAGUGCCGCAGUUAACACAAUAAGUAAUCCACCUGGGGAGUACGACCGCAAGGUUGAAACUCAAAGGAAUUGACGGGGGCCCGCACAAGCAGUGGAGUAUGUGGUUUAAUUCGACGCAACGCGAAGAACCUUACCAAGUCUUGACAUCCCUUGACGAACAUAGAAAUAUGUUUUCUCUUCGGAGCAAGGAGACAGGUGGUGCAUGGUUGUCGUCAGCUCGUGUCGUGAGAUGUUGGGUUAAGUCCCGCAACGAGCGCAACCCUUAUGGUCAGUUACUACGCAAGAGGACUCUGGCCGGACUGCCGUUGACAAA
rnacentral:rRNA from 1 species